rnacentral:lncRNA from 1 species
UGAUCCUUGGUAUCCGUUGGUUGAAGAGACUCCUUCUACUGUCAGUAUGGACGAGUUCUUAGAGAUGAAGCGGGAGAGAGAUCAGCUACUUGCAGAGAAAGCUGAACUGGAGAUGAGUGUUGCUCGGGUUCAGAGGGUUAAUCAGGAGCUCAAGGGGAAGAUGGAAGAUCAAGACAAGCGACAUGCUCUGGAAGCCAAGCGCUUUGAGAUGGAUACAGCCUACUAUGGGAAGAUUAGCCAGGCCUUAGUCUCAUCUAACCGGGAGCAUGACAUCACCAAGGAGAGAUUGGCUAGAGCUUCGAAAGUUAUUGAAGAUGAAAAGAGAAGGCAAGUCCUGGUGAAAGGUCAGAGGGAUGACAGAGUCCGGGUUCUUAUUGCUGAAUGGGAG